GCGAGCUGGGCGAGUGGCGCGCGCCGCUCGUCGACGGCGUGCCGAUGCCGCGCGUGGCGGGCGUCAGCUCGUUCGGCGCCGGCGGCUCGAAC
rnacentral:tRNA from 1 species